CCUACGGGGGGCAGCAGUGAGGAAUAUUGGUCAAUGGACGAGAGUCUGAACCAGCCAAGUAGCGUGAAGGAUGACUGCCCUAUGGGUUGUAAACUUCUUUUAUAUGGGAAUAAAACGUUCCACGUGUGGGAUUUUGUAUGUACCAUUUGAAUAAGGAUCGGCUAACUCCGUGCCAGCAGCAGCGGUAAUACGGAGGAUCCGAGCGUUAUCCGGAUUUAUUGGGUUUAAAGGGAGCGUAGGUGGAUUGUUAAGUCAGUUGUGAAAGUUUGCGGCUCAACCGUAAAAUUGCAGUUGAAACUGGCAGUCUUGAGUACAGUAGAGGUGGGCGGAAUUCGUGGUGUAGCGGUGAAAUGCUUAGAUAUCACGAAGAACUCCGAUUGCGAAGGCAGUUCACUGGACUGCAACUGACACUGAGGCUCGAAAGUGUGGGUAUCAAACAGGAUUAGAUACCCUUGUAGUC
rnacentral:rRNA from 1 species